CGGGUGACCGUGAGGAUAGUGCCACAGAAACAUACCGCCGAUGGCCCCCAGGGCACAGGUAAGGGUGCAAGGGUGCGGUAAGAGCGCACCAGCAGCAUCGAGAGGUGCUGGCUCGGUAAACCCCGGUCGGGAGCAAGGUCGUAGGGGCCAAGGUUGGUCUUUUUCCAGCCCCGUGAUUGGGUACCGCAGGAGGCGGCUGGUAACAGUCGUCCCAGAUAGAUAACCACCCUCCUGGCCGCAGGAGAACAGAACCCGGCUUACCACUAACUCCUUCC
rnacentral:RNase_P_RNA from 1 species